GUCGCAUUAGCUCAGUUGGUAGAGCGUUAGUCUUUUAACCCAAUGAUCCCCGGUUCGAAUCCGGGUCCCGCCA
rnacentral:tRNA from 1 species